GGGGAUGUAGCUCAUAUGGUAGAGCGCUCGCUUCGCAUGCGAGAGGUACGGGGAUCAAUACCCUGCAUCUCCA
rnacentral:tRNA from 1 species